CCACCACCACCACCACCUUUUAGGAAGCCUCAGCAUGAACAGAGAAAGGAGCAGGAGCCAAAAAGACCUCACAUUAAGAAGCCUCUGAAUGCUUUUAUGUUAUACAUGAAAGAAAUGAGAGCGAAUGUCGUUGCUGAGUGUACUCUAAAAGAAAGUGCAGCUAUCAACCAGAUUCUUGGCAGAAGGUGGCAUGCCCUCUCCCGUGAAGAGCAGGCUAAAUAUUAUGAAUUAGCACGGAAAGAAAGACAGCUACAUAUGCAGCUUUAUCCAGGCUGGUCUGCAAGAGACAAUUAUGUAAGCCCCUCCUCCAUACCAGUGGCUCUCCACUCUCACUCAUUCGCUCUUUUGCGUUCAAGAAGGAAAUGUGUUUUAGGUGUAUAUAAUGCUGGUACUACUUAUUUUUUGGAAGUUAAUGAACUUUGUAAUAAGGAUUUCAUGGAUAUAUUGCAUUAUGAAAGCUUCGAGCUAUCUUUUUUUUUUUGCUAUGGGUGCUAAUGAAUGCUUUUAAAUAAAAUUUUUGAAAUAAA
rnacentral:lncRNA from 1 species